AUGGAGGUUCUGCUCAGGCAACCCUGCACUGCUUGCAGCCGACGCCAUGGAGGUAUCCAAACCUCAGAGGACUACAUGUUCUAUGCCAUCUCGGCGGAGUACCCUGAGUUCAGCAACAAGGAGAAGACACUCGUGCUGCAGUUCACGGUGAAGCAUGAGCAAAAGCUUGUCUGCGGUGGUGGUUACAUCAAGUUGCUCGGAGGUGAUGUUGACCAGAAGAAAUUUGGUCAUGUUAUAUUUAUUAGAAUAUACUGA
rnacentral:rRNA from 1 species